CACGUAGGGCGCAAGCGUUGUCCGGAAUUAUUGGGCGUAAAGAGCUCGUAGGCGGUCUGUUGCGUCCGCUGUGAAAACUCGGGGCUUAACCCCGAGCCUGCAGUGGAUACGGGCAGACUAGAGGUAGGUAGGGGAGAAUGGAAUUCCCGGUGUAGCGGUGAAAUGCGCAGAUAUCGGGAGGAACACCGGUGGCGAAGGCGGUUCUCUGGGCCUUACCUGACGCUGAGACGCGAAGGCGUGGGGAGCGAACGGG
rnacentral:rRNA from 1 species